rnacentral:lncRNA from 13 species
GAGGCCUGGGAGGGAAGGGGACUCUCUACAGACAUACAUUUCCCCACGAGAGGUGGCUUGGCUGGGCCACUCCAAACCAUGUCGAAGGAACAUAUUUUGGGGUAAAAUUCUUGUAUUUCUUUCAGGGCCAGCUACGUGCCAUGUGGCGCCAGAGUCAGGUUGGAACCUGUGUCUCGUUGGUAAGGACUCAGCUCCAUCGUCUCAGGAGAAUCCCAAAGGCAGGAGAGGAGAGGAGAGUGAGGCGUGCCCAACCCCCACUUCCCAUCACGGCACGCGCUAGACUUCCAGGUCUCCUUGGAAGAGAGAUCGAUUGGGCUGGGGGGGAGAUGGAGACAGAGGAAGACAAGGAGGGAGGGAGAGGCAGAGAAUGAGGGUCCAGGAGAAGGAGGAAGCGCGUGAGUGAGGUGAAGGACGCACAGCAGCGGGUCCCACACCCGAGUGGAAUUCCAGAGGAGAAACUGAGGACAGCAGGAAGAAAUGACUUUAGAUUGUAACUAUCUCAUGAUGGGAGGAGAGAUGUGAGGCUUGGUACAGAACGGAUCCACAAGUGCCCAGCAGGAAAGCCCAGGUCACCCUGUCUCUGCCGGGACUGACCACGCCUCCCUCUCCUCCCUGGGACAACCAAGCCCAGCCCUAUUUGUCAGAGCUGCUGAAGGUGUCCAUGGACGCCCCCAGGGCCUCUUCCCAAAGCGGACACCCCCACUUUCCUGGGCAACCCCUCCCUCCACACACUCUCUCCUCUGCUCCCCGCAUCCCUGCUCUCCUCCUGCGCCAGCCCCCCACCCCCACAGCAGCCCCUCCACCUCCCUGGCCAGGAACCCACGUCCCCUCGGUGACCUUGCCCUUCCUCCUCUCCUUCCUCUCUGCCUGUUCCCCUCUCAUGGGACACCCCAGGCCUCUCAGCCAAGUAUGUCUCACCUAGGACCAUGUCUCUCUGGACUCCCACCCUCGGUACCUGCCUCCUGCCCGCCAUGGCCCACCCUGAUGUGCCGCCACGCUGACCCCUGUGUUCCUGUCACUCCUGAGGCCACACCAUGCUCCUCCCAUAUGGCCACCCUCUGCAGACAACACAGUAUAGGCGCCCCCACCUGUCCGCCUUCUCCAGCACCUCUGCUGUCUCCUCCCACUGGCCACCCUCUGUGAACAACACAGCGCAGGCGCCCCCACCUGUCCGCCUUCUCCAGCACCUCCGCUGUCUCCUCCCACAGGCCA